rnacentral:rRNA from 1 species
AUUGAACGCUGGCGGCAGGCCUAACACAUGCAAGUCGAACGAGUGGUGGACGGGUGGGCAAUGUCUGGGAAACUUCCUGGUGGAUGGGGUUCAGUACUGGAAACUGUAGCUAAUACCGCAUAACAUAGGCUGUGCCCAGAUGGGAUUAGCUAGUAGGUGGGGUAACGGCUCACCUAGGCGACGAGCCCUAGCUGGUCUGAGAGGAUGACCAGCCACACUGGAACUGAGACACGGUCCAGACUCCUACGGGAGGCAGCAGUGGGGAAUAUUGCACAAUGGGCGAAAGCCUUAUGCAGCCAUGCCGCGUGUAUGAAGAAGGCCUUCGGGUUGUAAAGUACUUUCAGUGGGGAGGCGUUACCCGCAGAAGAAGCACCGGCUAACUCCGUGCCAGCAGCCGCGGUAAUAC